UUAAUUAUAGUAUAACUAAUCGCCGUAUUUGAAUAUCAAAAAAUAAUACAACGCGUGACCGAACGACGCAUGGAUUAAACGAGUGCGCAGCACGAGUUUAAUCCAUAGCGGCGUUCGGUCACAAGUUGUCUUAUUUUUUUAUAUUCAAAUACGGCGAUUAGUUAUACUUUUUAUAACAUUGUCAAAUUGCUUUUUUUUUUAUGAAAUUAAUGUACAAAAUGUAAGGAAAUAUAUGUUUUUCCUACGCAUGUUUUGUUUCGACGUUAUCGACGUCUUGAUAACGCCUAUUGUUGUAUGACGUCAGAGAGUGAAAUAACCACGUUUAUUUCACAUGUGAAAUUAUCGGUUUUUAUCUAACUGGGAAAUCAAUGUAAUUCAGCGCAACCAAUGUAAUAAAAUGUUAUAUCU
rnacentral:lncRNA from 1 species